rnacentral:rRNA from 1 species
UGGGCGGAGCUGAUCAGCCAUGCCGCGUGCAGGAAGACUGCCCUAUGGGUUGUAAACUGCUUUUGUACGGGAAGAAACACUCCUACGUGUAGGAGCUUGACGGUACCGUAAGAAUAAGCAUCGGCUAACUCCGUGCCAGCAGCCGCGGUAAUA